GAUGAACGCUAGCGAUAGGCUUAACACAUGCAAGUCGAGGGGCAGCAUGGUCUUAGCUUGCUAAGACUGAUGGCGACCGGCGCACGGGUGCGUAACGCGUAUGCAACUUGCCUCACAGAGGGGGAUAACCCGUCGAAAGACGGACUAAUACCGCGUACACUCUAAGUUGGGCAUCCAAUUUAGAGGAAAUGAAUUUCGCUGUGAGAUAGGCAUGCGUCCCAUUAGCUAGUUGGUGAGGUAACGGCUCACCAAGGCGACGAUGGGUAGGGGAACUGAGAGGUUGAACCCCCACACUGGUACUGAGACACGGACCAGACUCCUACGGGAGGCAGCAGUGAGGAAUAUUGGUCAAUGGGCGAGAGCCUGAACCAGCCAAGUCGCGUGAAGGAUGACUGUCUUAUGGAUUGUAAACUUCUUUUAUACGGGAAUAACAAGAGCCACGUGUGGCUCCCUGCAUGUACCGUAUGAAUAAGCAUCGGCUAACUCCGUGCCAGCAGCCGCGGUAAUACGGAGGAUGCGAGCGUUAUCCGGAUUUAUUGGGUUUAAAGGGUGCGUAGGCGGCCUGUUAAGUCAGCGGUGAAAUCUAGGAGCUUAACUCCUAAAUUGCCUUUGAUACUGGCGGUCUUGAGUGUAGAUGAGGUUGGCUGGAAUGCGUGGGUGUAGCGGUGGAAUGGCAUUGAUAUCACGCUGAAACUCCCUAUUGCGAAGGCAGCUUGACUGUGUGUUCAACUGACGCUGGAAGCACUAUAGCGUUGGGUAUCAAACAGUGAUUGGAUGCCCUAUUGUGUCCAAGGGGCAAAUUGAGUGUGUGAUUUGGGGGUUGCGGGACCGGCGCCCCUGAAAUGAAAACCAAAUGACUGCUUUUGUUCCUUUGGGAGGGGUAAAUUAGGGGUGUGUGUUUGUCUGUUU
rnacentral:rRNA from 1 species